CUCAGAAGGCGCCAGAACGUUGAAUGAUGACUCUGCUGUCCCAGGCUGAAAAACGGUAUUGCAUUUGGUAAGUGGUCGAUCUGAGAACAAUGAGACGGGGGCGCGCAUGCAAAAGAUGACUCCAUUUUCAACUUUGAGUCUUUGAACGAAAACAUGGUUUCCCGGUCGGAAUAGUAUCGCUAUUUUACGAGAAAAAUCGCAUAAAAAUUUAUUUUAAACAGAGUUUGACAUGCUUCGAAGUACGGUAAUGGAAUAUUUUGAAAAUUUUUGUCACGAUACGCGUCCGCGCGUCACCAUUCGGAUAGUGUCUUGAACGCAAGAACAAAACAGAGGAUAUUUGAACAUAACUAUGGAUUAUUUUGAACCAAAACAACAUUUGUGGAUGAAGUAGAAGUCCUGGGAGUGCAUUCUGACGAAGAACAGCAAAGGUCGCAGUUGUAAAUGAGAGCUUGUUAACAAAUGGCCUACCUGGUUAAAUAAAGGAAUGAUCAAGCAGGGAGGCAAAGGUGGUCCAAACAUAGGGGUCCAUCAUCCAACUCAGCUGACUCCGUGGCUGUGAAGAUGAGUCAUGAUGACUGCUCAUGGAAAGGUGAGAUUCAUUAUACUCAACCCAGUAGCAGUAAAAAAUAAAAACGAUAUGACAUUUAAGCCUAUCCUAUUUUACAUGGUUGAUGAUUAUUUUAAUUGACAUGCUAAAUAAUGUGUCAGAGGCACUCAAAUCUGCUUCCAUACGUGGCCACUAUGUCCCAAG
rnacentral:lncRNA from 1 species